AUAAAGUCUAGAGAUGUAUAUAACUUUUCUGCAUCAUUUUGGAAUUUUAAUGAGAUGAAACGAGACCCAGAGACACCUGUUCUAGACCACUUUGGGAUCUUAAUGAGAGAGGUCAAAAGUCCGUCUGACUCACCUGUGCUGAGUGACUUGAAUGCCAUCUAAUCUAACUUCAAGGUGACUGGAUAGAUUGUACAUGUGGUAAUAAAAUGCUAAUCGUAGUGUCAUAAUUUUAGAGAUUCAAGAAGAAAUUAUUAGAAACACAAAUUAAGAGCUUUAAUAUGCUCAUAUGUACCUGUGCAUAACUUUUUUUAAAGCACCUAGAAACUGCAAGUCAAUAAACAUUGUUUUCCCAUGCUGCCCUAUACUCAUCCAACCCAGCGAUGAUGAAAUGCAUACUGACAAGAGCAAUAAGAAAAAUAAUAACAUUAUCACAGGAUCAAUGUCUAUUGCUAGCUUCAUAAAGGACUUGGCUUCCCAUUGAUGUUUAAUUUUUGUAAAUGCCUCUGGAAAUUUAAGUAGCAGUAGGAAAACAUAAUGUUCAAUUUCUCCUAACAUAACCUCUUAAACUUUGGACGUGUGCAGUUUUCAGUCUGGGACAAAUUUAGGAGAACAAAUCUCUUUGAAACAGACUGGCAGAUUUAUUUUAAAUAAGCUUGCUUUAAGGCUACAGGUCUAGGAGACAGAAUCAUAGAAGAUGAUUGGAACAACGGGAGCUGAAAAAUCUUGGAAGCCUGCUUUUUCUGUGACUCGUUUUGGUGUAUACAUCAGCAUAAAGGGGAGAGUCUCCUCUAUCCAUGUCAUGGCUGAUGGUAGCAUCUGUGCCAAAUUUUAAGCACUAGGGGACAAGUUGGGAGGCUCCGAAAAGCUCACCUGUCUCAGAACACCACGAUAUCCUAGCAUUUUUGUUAUUCCUCCUUGCUCUACCUCAACUGCUCUGGCAUUGACUCAAAUUCCUGGAACUGCAUAAUCAGCAUCUGGACGAAUAAUAAAUGAACUCCUGCUAGCUCUACCAUAGGAGAAGCAUUAGAGUACUUUGAAGUCCUAGAACCUUCAUCUUCUUAGACUUAAGAGUGGUAUUUCUGAAACUUGAGCUUGCAUCAGACUCACCUAAGGCAUCAUGUUAAAACACUGAUUGCUGAACUCUACCCUGAUAGUUUUUGGUUCUGUAGUUCUAAGGCAGAGCUCAUUAAUUUGAGUUUCUAACCAGUUCCCAUAUGAUGCUGAUGCAACUUGUCCUGCAGACCAUACAUUGAGGACCGCUAGCCUAGAGUUCCCCUUUUUUGACCCAGAUGCUGGACUGUUGUAAGCCAACAGUUAGGUCUUUCUGAAAUCCAUGGGCUCAAGCAGGGGCAGAAAAUAUCCAGAUGCCAAAAGGAAGCUUAUUAUUUUAUAGGGACCUCUGCAGAGUGAGCGCCACACUUUGGCUGAAGAGUACAGUUUGUUCCUCACCAUGACCUUGGGGUCCCGUCCCAACUAAUCCAGAGCCAUGUGGGUUUGCAGAGACAGGCAUUCCUCCCAUAUUCUGGCCUCUGACCUGAAAUCUUCUAACUUGAGAAGAGAACAGUCACCUUCCUGGGAAUCUGAAAUAGAAAGGCAAAUUUGUGAAGGCCUUUCUGACAUCUGAAUGGCUGGAUUUGCAUUUGCUGUAGUGAUAACUCAGUGCCAUCCAGACCUGACAGUGAUGAACGAUGCUGGAUUCUGCUCAAAUUCCAUCAAAGCCUGCAGGGUGAAGACUCUGGUCCCUGAACCCAGUGUCCUCUGGCCCUUCCUGUCAAAGCAUUGGAGUGACAGGGAGACAUUUGAGAGGCAGUGAGGAGGAAGGACAGAGGCAUCAGGGUGGGUGUGGCAGCUUCCAUAUUUAGCAGAGAGAAGCAGAGAUGAGGGUAAGAUUAUGAGUGGGAGAGGAGGGAAGGUUAGAGAACAAUGGAAAAAUUUUCUUCUUCAGUGUAAGAAUUCUGGACCCUUAUUUGAAGUCUCUCCUGCUUUGUUGGGCAAAAGUAAUGAGAAACUCCACUUGGCUUCAGAAUGCAGUGUCAACUCCACAUGAAUCAAAGCAAUAAAAAAGAAUCAACUCAGAGCAGGCUGAGCUAUGUGAGGUUCUUUUUGAGGGGAGUCUCUCUGAUGCUUGGAAUGAAUCCUGCUGAAUCAAUGCUGAUGCUUGGAGAUCUUCAAGUCUUUUCCCUUUUUCCCAUUGCUCAUGAUGUCUAUAUAACCUCCAAACAUGCAUCCCACUCCUCUGCCGAAAGACCAUUUUUUUAUAUCUUCAGUGAUGGUCUAGGCCAGGUUAAUUGACUUUUCUUUUUUCUUAAGCCAACUAAAGUCCUCACCACAAAUUAAUGUUAUGUUUUGACUGACUCAUUGGGCCUGAACAAUAAUGUUAUUUCUCGCAGUGCACUAAAAAGGGAGUAGAAAGGGAAAGGUGGAUGUAUUUCUUAAUUUUCUGUAAUCUAAGUACUGAAAUCUCACUUUUACAACAAAGGCAGCUUUGAUAUAAUUUUUGGAAACAAGCUUUCUGCUGAGCUGGUUGUGAAAUCUCAUUGGUUGGAGAGAAUUCAAGUGCAUGUCAGUGAGCACAGGUGCUGGAAGUUGUAGGUAAGGAGUCAGGAGUGCAGUCUACAGGUGCAGAAAAAAGAUUUUCAUGGAGACCCCCAGCUCUAAAUGUAGUUGCUCAAAAGGUGGACUUUGCCAUUCACUUAUGUGAAGCCCUUUGAAAAUCUGACAUUUCUGUGGGCCUGUUAGUGGCGAGCCAGAGGGGCUUGCCAGCUUAGAGGUUAAUUGUGCUAAUUAACAGAAAGGACAGAGGCUUCAGAAAGUGCCUCUGUGGACUGGAAAAUUUUCCCAAUAUUUCAUUAGGGUGACUUUGAAAAGGUUGCAGGCAAAUGGCACCUUUCACUUUAAAAAUCUAAACCAUGGCUUUUUAACCAUUUUUAAAGUUUGAGUUUGAAAAGUCCACUUUUAGUGUUAUUUAGAAACUCGUCCUAUGGGAAGUCUGGAGGAAAGGAAAGACUACAUUUUUAAGUGCAUCAUUCUCGCCUUUCAUUCCUUUAUGCUUAGCUUUUUAUUUCUUGGCACUUAUUUUAAAAGCCUUAUUCUCUCCUCCUCCCAGUGCAAACCCACGCCAUAUCCCUGAAUCUGUUGUGGAAGAACAGACUGGAAGACAUCUGCCUCUUGCCUUAUUUUUUUUAAUUCCUCUAAAUGAUAGAGCCAAGUCUCCACACCAGAGCUCCCUCUCCCUGAACAAACCAAAUGGUGGCUGUUGGCAGUGCAUUGACAGCUUGUUAAUGGAGGAAUCCUUGACAGUGUGACAACCUGCCUGGGCUGCCGCGGGAAGCCAAAUCCGCCCCCACACAAACCCGAGUAAUUAACAGGUGGGGAAAAAUAGCAAGUAACUGCUGCUGAGGAGAGGAAAAAUAGUCAACCUAGUGAAUUAUGUAUAUUAAAGUAUAAUAUCUCUUUUGCAAUCCCUUUCCUAGUUCUUACUAGCAAGCUCUACUGGAAAGUGGUUUGACUUUGGAGUCAGGUGAGCCUGGAUUUGAAUCAAAGUUUGGCCACCUACUGGCUGUGUGUGACUUUGGGAAAAUUCCCUUCACUGAACCUCCAUUUGUGAUCAGUACUGUGGUCAGAUACUAUUUGUGAAGGCACAAUUAUAGAUGCCACUUAUCGGUGUUCAAUUGUCAAAACCUCUUUUUAUGAUGAUGGAUUUGCCAAAUUGUUCUUGUAGUUCUGUCAAGUUUUGUUUUUUUUUAAUAUCGUGAGGUAAUUUUUUGGUUCAUUAAGUUUGAAAUUGUUAUUUCUACUUGGCGAAUUGGGCCUUUUAUCAUUAGACAGUGACUUCCUUUUUCUCUAGUCAUACUUUUCGUCUUGAAAUUAUUUUUUGUGAUGUUAUUUUAUGUGCUGAUAUAUAUACACACACACACACACACAUGCACACACAAACACAUAUAUAUAUAUUCCAUUUAUUUGAUAGUAUUUCUGUGCUUUUAGGUUUCAUGAGGUUAGGGGUAUAGGAUGAAGGGUAUAGAGAAGGGGAGGGCUCUGGUUACCUAUUGCUUGGUUAAGGCGUCCACACUUGUUGGGCUGACUGUCUAGACAUCCUCUCUCCCAGCUCCCUCAAACCCAAAAUAUAUUUGCAUGAAUUCCAAUAAAGAAAUCUUCUCAGAGAAGCAUGUGCUGGUACCACCCACACCAGCUGGAACAUUUUUCUCUCAGCUCUGACCUACACUAGAAAAUACGUGGAAGGAAUUUUUCAAAACUUAGAUCUGUAGCUCUUGAUAUAAUACCAGGGGCUAAAAUGAAUUUAGGAGACAUUCAAGGCUGUUUAAAAUAGUUAUUUUCAAGCUUUCUUCAGUCUUAGAUCUCUUUGUGAAUGUGAUGAAAGCUCUGGACUCUUGCCUCAGGAAAAAUGCAAAAACACAAGAUUUUCAAACUUUAGCUGAUCCUAUUUUUAUGUCCUAAAGUUCCGGAGGCUCCAGGUAAAAGGGCCGCUAUUUAAAUACUCAUGUUGCAAACAUUAAGGGAUAAAAGGCAGGAUGGAAAAUUUAAACACAUGCAAAUAUAUUGGUCAGAAUGGUGGACUGUGCAGUCCUGGCAGAAAAUUUGCUGCCUAUUCUUUUCUAGGGUGGGCUCAGAUUUAUCAGUGAGGCCAUGCCCUGAGCAGAAUUGCCCUGUGGCAAAGGAAACCUGAGCUGAGGACUAAAUGAGAAAGUCCAGAACCGGUGAAUGCACAUGACCCCAGCUGAAAGUCUCUAGGAAACAUCCCCCCAAGGAGGGCUUCAUAACCCAGGGCUCACUGAAGAAAAUUCCAAUUGAAGAUAAGCUGAGGAGAAAAUAUCACAAAACACUGAAAAACACCACUAUGAGAGGUAAGUCUAGCAGAUGCAACAAAUAGAGCGUUCAUGCCCAAGAAAGUAGAAGUAAUAAAAUCAGCUGAAAAAGUACUUUAAUAUAAGUAUGUUGAAAAUAUUGAAAGUUUAAAAAAGGAUAGAAUCCAUAAAAAUGGAGAUAAUGGAAGAGGACGGAAAAACUUGGGGAAAAAUAGCUAGUUUCAGAAACAAAAAAUAUUGGUAUGGGUAUGGAGGAAACUUUAAGGACACUUUAAUCAGCAGACUACACAGGAUUAAGAAGUGAAUAAGUAAAACAGAAAGAUUAUCAGAGGAAGUCAUCCAGAAUACAGCAGAGAUAGAAAAAGAGUUGAGGGCUAAGAAAGAGAAGUUGAAGAAUGGAAGAAUUUGAAAUUUCACCCUAGACACACAGUAAUGAAAUUACAACAUUCAUGUAUCAUGGGAAAGUUCUAAAAGUUAUCAGGCAGAAGAGACAGAUUAUUUUAAAAAGUCAGUAUCAGACAAAAGGCAGACUGUUGUUAUCAGUAAUAGAUACCAGGAAAUAAACAGGAAAUAAAUAAAAAUAUCUGCAGGGCACUGAGGCAAAAUUGUGUGAAUACAUAUCUUACUAAUGCAAAUGAUGCAAAAACCAAAACAAACCAAAACAAAAACUGAACACCUGCUGGAAAUGUGUUCACGUUGAAUUCAUUCUGGUUGGUUAAAUUUAAAAAGACGAUUAUUUUUAUCUCAAUAUUUCUGUAUUGUUCACAUUCCGUGUAAUAAACAUGAUUUACUUAUGUAAUAAAAUGAAUAUUAAAAAAACAAAUAAUCUGAGUUGAAAUUAUA
rnacentral:lncRNA from 10 species